rnacentral:rRNA from 1 species
GACGAACGCUGGCGGCGUGCCUAAUACAUGCAAGUUGAGCGCUGAAGGUUGGUACUUGUACCAACUGGAUGAGCAGCGAACGGGUGAGUAACGCGUGGGGAAUCUGCCUUUGAGCGGGGGACAACAUUUGGAAACGAAUGCUAAUACCGCAUAAAAACUUUAAACACAAGUUUUAAGUUUGAAAGAUGCAAUUGCAUCACUCAAAGAUGAUCCCGCGUUGUAUUAGCUAGUUGGUGAGGUAAAGGCUCACCAAGGCGAUGAUACAUAGCCGACCUGAGAGGGUGAUCGGCCACAUUGGGACUGAGACACGGCCCAAACUCCUACGGGAGGCAGCAGUAGGGAAUCUUCGGCAAUGGACGAAAGUCUGACCGAGCAACGCCGCGUGAGUGAAGAAGGUUUUCGGAUUGUAAAACUCUGUUGGUAGAGAAGAACGUUGGUGAGAGUGGAAAGCUCAUCAAGUGACGGUAACUACCCAGAAAGGGACGGCUAACUACGUG